rnacentral:piRNA from 1 species
UUAUAAUCCAUUUGUCACUCAAG